rnacentral:ncRNA from 1 species
UGACCUCGGAUCAGGUAGGAGUUACCCGCUGAACUUAAGCAUAUCAAUAAGCGGAGGAAAAGAAACCAACCGGGAUUGCCUCAGUAACGGCGAGUGAAGCGGCAAGAGCUCAAAUUUGAAAUCUGGCCCCUUUGGGGUCCGAGUUGUAAUUUGCAGAGGAUGCUUCGGGUGCGGUCCCCAUCUAAGUGCCCUGGAACGGGCCGUCAUAGAGGGUGAGAAUCCCGUCUGGGAUGGGCGGCCGCGCCCGUGUGAAGCUCCUUCGACGAGUCGAGUUGUUUGGGAAUGCAGCUCUAAGCGGGUGGUAAAUUUCAUCUAAAGCUAAAUACUGGCCGGAGACCGAUAGCGCACAAGUAGAGUGAUCGAAAGAUGAAAAGCACUUUGAAAAGAGAGUUAAACAGCACGUGAAAUUGUUGAAAGGGAAGCGUUGUCCACCAGACUCGCCCGGGGGGGCUCAGCCGGCACGUGUGCCGGUGUACUCCUCUCCGGGCGGGCCAGCAUCGGUUUGGGCGGCUGGUGAAAGGCCCCGGGAAUGUAACACCCUCCGGGGUGCCUUAUAGCCCGGGGUGCCAUGCAGCCAGCCUGGACCGAGGCCCGCGCUUCGGCGAGGAUGCUGGCGUAAUGGUGGUCAACGGCCCGUCUUGAAACACGGACCAAGGAGUCUAACAUCUAUGCGAGUGUUCGGGUGUCAAACCCGUCCGCGCAGUGAAAGCGAACGGAGGUGGGAGCCCCUCGGGGCGCACCAUCGACCGAUCCUGAUGUCUUCGGAUGGAUUUGAGUAAGAGCAUAGCUGUUGGGACCCGAAAGAUGGUGAACUAUGCCUGAAUAGGGCGAAGCCAGAGGAAACUCUGGUGGAGGCUCGCAGCGGUUCUGACGUGCAAAUCGAUCGUCAAAUUUGGGUAUAGGGGCGAAAGACUAAUCGAACCAUCUGGUAGCUGGUUCCUGCCGAAGUUUCCCUCAGGAUAGCAGUAACGACAUCAGUUUUAUGAGGUAAAGCGAAUGAUUAGAGGCCUUGGGGUUGAAACAACCUUAACCUAUUCUCAAACUUUAAAUAUGUAAGAAGCCCUUGUUGCUUAGUUGAACGUGGGCGUUAGAAUGAAACGUUACUAGUGGGCCAUUUUUGGUAAGCAGAACUGGCGAUGCGGGAUGAACCGAACGCGAGGUUAAGGUGCCGGAAUGCACGCUCAUCAGACACCACAAAAGGUGUUAGUUCAUCUAGACAGCCCGACGGUGGCCAUGGAAGUCGGAAUCCGCUAAGGAGUGUGUAACAACUCACGGGCCGAAUGAACUAGCCCUGAAAAUGGAUGGCGCUCAAGCGUGCUACCCAUACCUCGCCGUCGGGGUAGAAACGAUGCCCCGACGAGUAGGCAGGCGUGGGGGUCCGUGACGAAGCCUUGGGAGUGAUCCCGGGUCGAACGGCCCCUAGUGCAGAUCUUGGUGGUAGUAGCAAUACUCAAAUGAGACUUUGAGGACUGAGUGGGGAAAGGUCCAUGUGACAGCAGUGGACAUGGGUGAGUCGAUCUAAGAC